rnacentral:rRNA from 1 species
AUACAGAGGGUGCAAGCGUUAAUCGGAUUUACUGGGCGUAAAGCGCGCGUAGGUGGCUAAUUAAGUCAAAUGUGAAAUCCCCGAGCUUAACUUGGGAAUUGCAUUCGAUACUGGUUAGCUAGAGUAUGGGAGAGGAUGGUAGAAUUCCAGGUGUAGCGGUGAAAUGCGUAGAGAUCUGGAGGAAUACCGAUGGCGAAGGCAUCCAUCUGGCCUAAUACUGACACUGAGGUGCGAAAGCAUGGGGAGCAAACAGGAUUAGAUUCCCUGGUAGUCCAUGUCGUAAACGAUGUCUACUAGCCGUUGGGGCCCUUGAGGCUUUAGUGGCGCAGCUAACGCGAUAAGUAGACCGCCUGGGGAGUACGGUCGCAAGACUAAAACUCAAAUGAAUUGACGGGG